UGCCAUCUCAGCUUCAAUGUCAAGGCCCUUCACAGCUGAAAGUGGUUGUUCUAAUAGGGCGCCUUGAUUGUCUGGAGUAACGUAAGCUGAAGGACAAGUGCUAGAGGUAUAUGGGUGCCGCAAGCAACCACCUCAGAAUCCAACAGAAAAUUGGUGGUUCAUCUUGCAUGUAAAGGCUACUUCCAACAUGCUUGCAGUUGGAGGGUCUUCGUCGCACUAACAUCUAGUUCAUUGUUGUUUAUGAUGUUUAAAGAAAGAAAUGAUCAAAUUUUGAAGUUCUUGCAGAAGGGUAUUCUCCAACUUUUUCUCUUUUUAUUUUUGUGCAUUUAUUCUGUUACUUUUUACUGGUACACAAGUACAGCCUCGCUGGUCUCUAACAUAAGUAUCUUUAAUAUGGUACCAAAAAUAGAUGAGAAGCAACUUUUGGCGCUUACCAGUUGAAAUAUGGAGCAGCAUCUUCAGUUUCGGACAUCUCAUUGCAAAUGCUGAAAUAUGCUUUACUCCAAAUGUGUUGAUGCCCAAAGCUGUAUCAUACCUAUUGAUAUUUCAAAACAAAAUUUUCUGUGAACAACAUAAAUGAGUUCACAUGGAAAGGUGCCAUGCGACUUUUUAAAGCUUGGAAACUCGUUGCCACUAGUGCAAAUUACAAGGAUUUACAUUUCCUUCUUAUUAUAAAAGGUGUCAAGGAGCAGAAAUUAGAGGUCACCAUAUUGUUUAUUACCUUUCGUUAAAGUCUAUGUUUGCCGCUACAUGGACGAUGACAUUAAUUUCGCUCCAGAGGGUUUCUUUAAGUUUGUCUUCGUGUAUUCCCAAAUCCUCAAAGGUAAUGUCUCCUGCCAAAGGGCAGACUUUGUCCCAGAAGUAUGAAGGAAAGUUCCCUUGGUAUUUCUCUUCCAGAAUUUCAAAUACCUCAGUUUGCAUAACCUACAUGUUGCAGGUAUUACAAUGCAGAUGACACAAUCCAGUAAGGAGAAGCAAUAUUAGCAACAAUGGUUGGAUGAUAGUUACUUUACUAAUCCUUCAUCGAGAAAAAGACUUUUGUGUCUUUGUUAGGCAUGAUGCUAACCUCAGUUUCCACACGGCGCUUUGCGGAAACAUAAUCAGCUGCGCGCACCAACAGGUAAAGCUUCUUCACCUUCGGUUGAAUUCGAAGUACCUUCUCCAAAAACACUUCAUUCAAGAAAAAGGGGGGGAAAAAUAAAACAAAAGGCUGUCAGGGUUGCUUUUAUCAAUUCAAUACGAAAUGCUUAUAUGAGGAGCAGAACUUCAUGUUUGGAUAACACAGUUAAAAACUAGGCAUGAAUAUAUGUAUAUUACACUUUGCUAUGAGCCCGGUGGCACCGGUGACGAGAAGGCUCUUGUCCUCCAGAUAGUUUGCUACACUCUCCGGCUGCAUGAUUGUGAGAAACAGGAAAAGAGGGGCAAGCGAGCAAAAUAUGUCUACUUGAAUUUGAAUACCUCAUAUGAAUAUAUGCGCGCUAUAUAUAGACAAUGUUGUUAUAUGUCAAUAAUCAAGCUGGUCAUUGUGCAUUUACUGAGGAUUGAAAGUGUACCGUAAUGUUUUUGCUUUUGAGGUGGACUUAAGAUUAUCCUCAAGCAUAACUGUGGCACCCUACUUUUCACAUGAUCACUUAUCUUAGAUUUA